rnacentral:rRNA from 1 species
GCUUACGGCCACACCACCUGAUUCACGCCCGAUCUCGUUUGAUCUCGGAAGCUAAGAUAGGUUGGGCCUGGUUAGUACUUGGAUGGGAGACAGCCUGGGGAAUACCAGGUGCUGUAAGCU